GGUAGGGAAGGAGAAAGAGGGAGGAGUGCGGGGAGGGAGGAGGCAGUUACAGGACUGGGAGGUGCCGCCUUCUCCCACUCACCGGGCUCGGGACGUAGAACCUAAAGUGUUGGGGGCUCCCUGAGUUCGAGCCUAUGGAUUAGCCGGAGGGGGAGGCGCCGGUUCCGAGUCGGUUGUCUGGCAGUGCGGGCACAGCACGAGGCGCCAUGAAGAAGCAGUUUAAUCGCAUGAAGGUUCUGGCGAACCAGACAGUAGGGAGAGCGGAAAAGACUGAGGUACUAAGUGAAGACCUGCUUCAGAUUGAAAGACGUCUUGACAGCGUCCGUCUGAUUUGUCACAAUGCACAUAAGAAGCUGCUGGGUUGCUUGCAGGGACAGCCGGGCACAGAGGCGGAGAGGAGAUAUAGAAAACUCUCUCUCAUGGGCGUGUCGCAAUCCAUGGUGGAGGGGUCCUCGCUACUUGGCGAUGAUACACUAUUAGCGAAAACCUUGUAUUCGUGCGCAGAUGCAGAGCAACAGCUGGCCGUGGAGCUGUCUAUGCACGAGAUUGCAAUAGAAAAGGACAUCAUGGAACCUUUAAACCAACUAGCAGAGGUGGAGAUCCCCAACAUACAGAAGCAGAGGAAGCAGUUGAGUAAGCUGGUACUGGACUGGGAUUCGGCACGUGCCAGGUUUAAACUGGCACAGAAGUCCGGGACAAACUUCCAGAUGCAGCCAGGAAAGAUGGACUCCCUGAAAGAGGAGAUGGAUGAAGCUAUGAACAAAGUGGAACAGUGCAGGGACCAGCUUGCAGCCGACAUGUACAACUUUGUUUCAAAGGAAGGAGAAUAUGGAAAAUAUUUUGUCACAAUGUUAGAGACACAAGCUGAAUACCAUAGGAAAGCAUUAGCUGCCUUAGAAAAGGCACUCCCCGAAAUCCAAGCUCAGCAAGAUAAGUGGACAGAAAAGCCAGCGUUUGGCACACCACUAGAGGAGCACUUGAAACGGAGUGGGAGAGAGAUAGCUCUACCCAUUGAAGCCUGUGUAAUGAUGCUGCUGGAGACCGGCAUGAAAGAAGAGGGCUUGUUCAGAAUUGCAGCAGGGGCCUCCAAACUCAAGAAGCUUAAAGCCGCACUGGACUGUUCCACGUCUCAGCUAGAGGAGUUUUACUCAGACCCACAUGCAGUGGCAGGGGCACUAAAAUCGUAUCUGCGUGAACUGCCGGAGCCUCUAAUGACCUUUAAUUUGUAUGAGGAAUGGAUCCAUGCUGGAAACAUUCCAGACCAGAACACAAAGCUGCAGUCCUUAUGGGUAGUGUGCCAGAAACUUCCCAAACCAAAUCUGGAAAACUUCAGGUAUCUUGUGAAAUUCAUGGCCAAGCUGAGUCACCUCAGUGACAUCAACAAGAUGACUCCCAGCAACAUCGCAAUUGUGUUGGGUCCCAACCUCCUAUGGUCAAGGCAUGAAGGAACCCUCGCAGAAAUAGCGGCUGCAACAUCUGUCCACGUGAUGACAAUCAUCGAACCAAUCAUUCAGCACGCAGACUGGUUCUUUCCAGAUGACCUGGACUUUAAUGUUUCUGGUGCCUUUGUCCCCGUUGUGCCCACACCGCAUUCCAACAAUGUGCCUUAUACCGGGAACGAUGUGGCUUAUGAGUUUGGGCCACUGGAGAAGAAAAGGCCUUUCAGUAUGGUGAUGGAUGGAGAGCUGUCGAAGAGGGACAGCUCAGGUCUGAAAGUGAUGGACUACCAUCUGAACACUCGGAGAGGUGGAACCUUAAAUCGAAAACAUGCAGCACCAGCUUGCCAACCUCCACUGCCUCCCAGUGAAAGUGGAAACCAUCCGGAUUAUUCUGCAUCCUCAGAUGUUGGUUCCACGGUUGCUAUAUCUGCGCAGUCCACGACUUCUGCAGACCCUAUGCCAACCCACAGCAAUGAUGACUUUAGUACAUUCAAGCCUAAAGAUCUGACUACUGCAACCACCCCGCCAUCGCUUCGGAACGGAACUCAUCAGCCCUCUGGUGGUGGAAAUGCAAUGGCUCCUGCACAGGGCACUGCCAACCCAAGUCCUCUGUCCUCCAGGCGAGGUACAAAGAAGCCUGCACCCGCUCCUCCAAAGCCAGUUGUUCCCCAUUCGGGGCAGCUCGCUCAUUCAGGUUCAACCAUUUCUGCAAAUGUCCCACCCUUUGUCUUGCCCAAGCCCACCAAUACUGCCCACAAUCCUUCUCCACCAAGUAGUAUUACCGGCCAGGGAGUUGCUCCAGCCACCUCUACACACUCUCAUGGCACCCUCCCUCGUAGGCAUUCAGGAAGCCAGCCAUUCUUCCAGGCACCCAGUCAUCCUCCUCCACAGCCACCCACUCAGUCAGCAGCUCUGUCACUGUCUAAACCUAAUGUCCAGCCAGUGACAUUCUCCAACGAAUCCUCUACAGAUCAAUCCUCCAGUCCCCCGCACACACCAUCUCCUCCAGAUACUCCCCCACUGGGUGUAGAACAUCCAGGAUCCCAGCCAGCUGCCCCUGAAGCUACCCAGACGCAGCCAUCACCCCCACAGACUGGGACUCUACCCCGACCUAGACCCGUCCCCAAGCCACGUGUUCGGCCUACAGUCCCUCCUCCGCCUCAGCCUCCAGCCUCUCCAACGGUCCAGGAGCACCCAGAACCAUCAUCCGCUUCAAAGAUCAUCACUGGUUGGGAAAGUUACCGGUUCUAAGAUGUAUGAUGUGCCUUUAUCAGUAGCCAGUGAAACUUCAAGGUUUUAUGAUCCUCUUGUACAAGUUCGGUCUGCAGCAGAAUCGGUGCCUCCGGCUUUCCUCACUGAGCCUUCCCCACAAUCCUCGGUCAACUCAGAAGCUGACAUUGAGAGCACAGCUCUGUGACAAGGUCAAGGAACCUGCACUCCAAAACUACGGACUUCUCACUCUACAAGCCGACCAAGGGCUCCGUGUCAAGACUCAGCAGUGAAAAGCUUUCUACUCUUAUUCAUAUAUAUGAAUAUUUUCUCUUGCGAGAGAAAGACUUCUUGAGGUUUGAAUGACCUGGUGUGUCUUGCCAUUAUAACACGGACGUGGCCUUAGCCUUGGGAGGCAGUUCCUUUGCCUAUAGGGAAUAUACCAAGCUGCUGUUUCCUCUCUCCUUUGUACCACAUCAGACAGAUACAUCUGCCAAACCCCCCCCCUAAUUUGGUGGUGCAGAGGUGGAACACGCUGAAGACAUUCCAUUGCAGUCCCUUUAUUGCUCCUCUCUGCACCCCAAUAUCUGCCAGGUAAACCAGCAGUCACCCAUAUUGCUUUGAUGCACUCUUCUACAGUGUACAGACACAUCUAACAGCUCAUAUUUUAGGAUCAUGGAUAAAUAAACAUGCAUUUGUUGGCACUUUACCUGGAACAUAGGAAUGAGUGAGUGGAUGAUAUUGCUGCAUUGUGGGGUGUAAUCCAAUAUAUCCUGUAAUUUAGAAACCUCUAGCAGGUACGAGGUGAAAUAUAUAUUUAAAACUGCAGGAUUUCAGUUACUGACUGGUUAUAACCUUGUGCUAUUGCAUUCAUACAUCUGUGUGUGUAUUACAUAUGCUGCAUACAUAUACAGCACCAAGCAUAUCCACAGGAAAAGCAGAGUAAGGCUAAAGUGCCAUGAUUAGUGUGUGGCUGUAAUGCUCAGGCAUCAGGGCCAUCUUUAACAAAGCAUUAUUUGUUAGAACACACAAUAAGGAACAGGACAGUCCCACCUCCAACAAGUGAAGGGCAGCAGAUUGGGCUGUAUUCUUGCUACCAUUCUCUUGCCCUGUUCUUUACACCUUUUCCAAAUAUACCUGUCCUCUUGAGUCACCUUCUUACCCUACUGACUCCAUCCUUUUUAACUACAUGACCAUUGACUCCUCCCAGUCACCAUCUUACCCUGUCAUCUCCAUCUCUUCCCUACUAUACCUAUCCCCUAACUCUUCCUAGUCACCAUCUUCCACUACCAUCUCCAUCCUUUCCUACUAUACCUUUCCUUUAACUCUUCCCAGUCAUCAUCUUACCCUACCGUCUCCAUCUCUUCCCUACUAUACCUAUCCCCGAACUCUUCCUAGUCACCAUCUUACCCUAUCAUCUACUUACAUCCCUUCUUACUAUACAAAUCCAUUGACUCUUCCUAUUCACCCGUGCCUUCUCCAUACUUUUAUUUUCACUAUACCUAUACCCUGACUCGGGGCACCCAUGAGCCACAUUUAAAUGCAAAAAGAGUUGGGGAGCAACACAAGCAUGCAUAAAGUUCCUGCAGGUGGCAAUUAAGGGCUGUGAUUGGCUUGCCUCCAAGCCAGGAACUAGAAUGUAAUCACCUGCUUUGAGGCCAUUGGGAGCAACAUCCAAAGGGUUUGGUGUGCAACUUGUUGCUCAAGAGCCACUGGUUGGGGAUCACUGCCCUGGUUUCUCCUAGUCACCAUCUUACCCUAUCAUCUACACCCUUCUCUACCAUAGAUAUAUACAGUAUAUGACUCCUCCUUGUCACCAUCUUCCCUAUCAUCUACAUCCUUUCUUACUAUACCUAUAGUCUAAUUCUUCCUAGUCACCCUCAUACCCUACCAUCUCUGUCCUUUCUUACUAUACCAUAUACUCACCUUAACAGUAUAUCUCCCAGUUAAGUAAGGGAGAUGACACCAAUUACAAUAGAGCAGUACAGCACAUAGAUGUUUCCAGUGUGAGCAUGAAGAGACUCUGCCAUUCUCUGAAGAAAAGUUUCAAUAGGAGAAUGGCUUUCCAUUUCACCUGGCCUUCUCUAGAGUGGCACUUUAAGUGGCAUUAUACUAAUAUAGUAAUUAUUCUACCUGUAGUAUCUGACCAAAGCUUACUGCUGAUUGGUUACUGCCCUGGUGCAAACUGGCCCCGUGUUAAUAAGUAAUCAUCACUGUGUCUGCUGUGGUUAAUGAUAGAGUGCAUUUCUCAAGCAAUUCCUAGGCCAGGGGUCCCCAACCUUUUUUUACCUGUGAGCCACAUUCAAAUGUAAGAAGAGAUGGAGAGCAACACAAGCAUAAAAUAGUCCCAUGGGGUGCCAAAUAAGGGCUGUGAUUGGCCAUUUGGUUGCCCCUAUGUGGACUGGAAGCCUACAAGAGGCUCUACUUGGUACUAUACUUAGUUUUUAUGCAAUUAAAUUCAAAAAUAAGCAUCUGCUCUGAGGACACAGAGAGCAACAUUCAAGUAGUUGGAGAGCAACAUGUUGCUCGCGAGCUACUGGUUGGGGAUCACUGUCCUAGGCUAUUAAAUAUAUUUCCAGCUUGUUCCAGUAGAGUUUGCUAAAUCUGUUACACCCCCACUGCUGUUUAACUACAUUUCUCAUCAUCCUAAUGGGAGAUACAGAAUUACCAAGGGUUGAACCCUAAUUUAAUUUUCGAGAGUGGCUGGUCUACCAGUCGUGCUGUUUGACUUUACAACGGUGCCUUGCACAAUAAAAUAAUUCCACUCUCUGCCUUCUAAUCACAAGGCACAAAACUCUCUGGGUAGCAUUCAAUUUGCAGUUUUUGUAGCCUUUUUAGUCCGCACAAUCCGCUCACUUAUAUAGAUGUUUUUCUGCUGAUAUUUUCCCCCGGUUUCUAUACCAGUGAAUUGCUGACGGUUCUGUAAGAUUUUCUUUCCCUUACCACGUGUGAGACAGACUCAUCUGCUUUGGAUAAAGCUCAGCAAUGGGACUUAAAUUAUAUAUUUUUGCCACACAAUAAAAAUGCUGAUGUCUAUUUCCUCUUCCCAAGGAAAUAAAAAAAGGUUAUGAGGUU